rnacentral:tRNA from 1 species
ACCUCUAUAGCUCAGUGGUAGAGCACUUGUCACGUAAACCAGGGGUCGUGAGUUCAACAUUCUAGGGGCA